GGGUGAGUAACGCGUGAGCAACCUGCCUAUGACAGUGGGAUAGCCUCGGGAAACCGGGAUUAAUACCGCAUAAAAUCGUAGAAACACAUGUUUCAACGGUCAAAGAUUUAUCGGUCAUAGAUGGGCUCGCGUCUGAUUAGCUAGUUGGUGAGAUAACAGCCCACCAAGGCGACGAUCAGUAGCCGGUCUGAGAGGAUGAACGGCCACAUUGGAACUGAGACACGGUCCAA
rnacentral:rRNA from 1 species